GUGUCAGCAGCCGCGGUAAGACGAACCGUGCGAACGUUGUUCGGAAUCACUGGGCUUAAAGGGCGCGUAGGCGGGCGGUCAAGUCUGUGGUGAAAUCCUUCGGCUCAACCGGAGAAUAGCUGGAGAUACUGGCCGUCUCGAGGGGGGUAGGGGCAUGUGGAACUUCCGGUGGAGCGGUGAAAUGCGUAGAUAUCGGAAGGAACGCCGGUGGCGAAAGCGACGUGCUGGACCCUUUCUGACGCUGAGGCGCGAAAGCCAGGGGAGCAAACGGGAUUAGAUACCCCCGUAGUCC
rnacentral:rRNA from 1 species